rnacentral:rRNA from 1 species
ACGGGAGGCAGCAGUGGGGAAUAUUGGGCAAUGGGCGGAAGCCUGACCCAGCAACGCCGCGUGAGGGAAGAAGGUUUUCGGAUUGUAAACCUCUGUCCUUGGUGACGAAGGAAGUGACGGUAGCCAAGGAGGAAGCCCCGGCUAACUACGUGCCAGCAGCCGCGGUAAUACGUAGGGGGCGAGCGUUAUCCGGAAUUAUUGGGCGUAAAGAGUACGUAGGUGGUUUUGUAAGCGUAAGGUGAAAGCCUGGAGCUUAACUCCAGCGAGCCUUAUGAACUGCAAGACUUGAGUGCAGGAGGGGAAAGUGGAAUUCCUAGUGUAGCGGUGAAAUGCGUAGAUAUUAGGAGGAACACCAGUGGCGAAGGCGACUUUCUGGACUGUAACUGACACUGAGGUACGAAAGCGUGGGGAGCAAACAGGAUUAGAUACCCUGGUA